rnacentral:rRNA from 1 species
UACGUAGGUGGCAAGCGUUGUCCGGAUUUACUGGGCGUAAAGAGCGCGCAGGCGGUCGUUUAAGUUGCGUGUGAAAGCCCCCGGCUCAACUGGGGAGGGUCACGCGAUACUGAUCGACUCGAAGGCAGGAGAGGGUAGUGGAAUUCCCGGUGUAGUGGUGAAAUGCGUAGAUAUCGGGAGGAACACCAGUGGCGAAGGCGACUACCUGGCCUGUUCUUGACGCUGAGGCGCGAAAGCUAGGGGAGCAAACGGG